rnacentral:rRNA from 1 species
UCUCUCUUGAGUGGAUCCUGAGUACGACGGAGCACGUGAAAUUCCGUCGGAAUCUGGGAGGACCAUCUCCUAAGGCUAAAUACUCUCUAGUGACCGAUAGUGAACCAGUACCGUGAGGGAAAGGUGAAAAGUACCCCGGAAGGGGAGUGAAAGAGAACUUGAAACCGUGUGCUUACAAGUAGUCAGAGCCCGUUAAUGGGUGAUGGCGUGCCUUUUGUAGAAUGAACCGGCGAGUUACGAUCUGAUGCAAGGUUAAGCAGCAAAUGUGGAGCCGCAGCGAAAGCGAGUCUGAAUAGGGCGUUGAGUAUUUGGUCGUAGACCCGAAACCAGGUGAUCUACCCUUGGUCAGGUUGAAGUUCAGGUAACACUGAAUGGAGGACCGAACCGACUUACGUUGAAAAGUGAGCGGAUGAACUGAGGGUAGCGGAGAAAUUCCAAUCGAACUUGGAGAUAGCUGGUUCUCUCCGAAAUAGCUUUAGGGCUAGCCUCAAGUGAUGAUUAUUGGAGGUAGAGCACUGUUUGGACGAGGGGCCCCUCUCGGGUUACCGAAUUCAGACAAACUCCGAAUGCCAAUUAAUUUAACUUGGGAGUCAGAACAUGGGUGAUAAGGUCCGUGUUCGAAAGGGAAACAGCCCAGACCACCAGCUAAGGUCCCAAAAUAUAUGUUAAGUGGAAAAGGAUGUGGCGUUGCCCAGACAACUAGGAUGUUGGCUUAGAAGCAGCCAUCAUUUAAAGAGUGCGUAAUAGCUCACUAGUCGAGUGACACUGCGCCGAAAAUGUACCGGGGCUAAACAUAUUACCGAAGCUGUGGAUUGUCCUUUGGACAAUGGUAGGAGAGCGUUCUAAGGGCGUCGAAGCAUGAUCGCAAGGACAUGUGGAGCGCUUAGAAGUGAGAAUGCCGGUGUGAGUAGCGAAAGACGGGUGAGAAUCCCGUCCACCGAUUGACUAAGGUUUCCAGAGGAAGGCUCGUCCGCUCUGGGUUAGUCGGGUCCUAAGCUGAGGCCGACAGGCGUAGGCGAUGGAUAACAGGUUGAUAUUCCUGUACCACCUA